GCCGGGUGUGGUGGCUCACACCUGUAAUCCCAGCACUUUGGGAGGCCGAGGUGGGUGGAUCACCUGAGGUCGGGAGUUCGAGACCAGCCUGACCAACAUGGUGAAACCCCGUCUCUA
rnacentral:SRP_RNA from 1 species